rnacentral:rRNA from 1 species
UACAGAGGGGGCAAGCGUUGUUCGGAAUUACUGGGCGUAAAGGGCGCGUAGGCGGCCUGCUAAGUCGAACGUGAAAUCCCCGAGCUCAACUCGGGAACUGCGUCCGAUACUGGUUGGCUUGAAUCCGGGAGAGGGAUGCGGAAUUCCAGGUGUAGCGGUGAAAUGCGUAGAUAUCUGGAGGAACACCGGUGGCGAAGGCGCAUCCUGGACCGGCAUUGACGCUGAGGAGCGAAAGCCAGGGGAGCAAACGGG